GGAGGUAAAUGCUGGAGACAGGAGAGCAAAGAAAAAGGAGAAGGAGAAGAGAGCAAAGUGAACUCAUAUUACACUAAUUUAUGAAAGCAUCUUAUGCAAAUGGCCAAAGAAAACAGAAAGCAAGAAAUGAAGCAAGGCAGGACCAAUUGAUGGUACUUUGAACGAAGUUUCAUAUACCAGCAGAAGCAGCAGCCAAAGCAAAAAACAAACGAUUUAAUAAAGAGAGAGAAUUUAUUAAUUUGGCUAGCUAUUUUUAUUUUUAUUUCGGUGGGGUGGAUUGAAUUGAAUAAAACAAAAGAAGAAGAGAGGGAGGGGAGGGAUGGACAAUAAAUAAUGAGGAGGUGGGGUGGGUGAAAGCUGAAAGGGCCUCAAUAUAAGAGAGUGAAAGGAACAAUUCAUAAGAUGAACAACAAAUUGUUGGUAGAAUCCACAUCGAGAGAAAGGACCCAUCUGGCUUUUUCAUUUUCUUUUUCUUUUUUCUUGAUUGGAUUAAAGAGCAAGGGUUCUGCUUCUGC
rnacentral:lncRNA from 1 species